rnacentral:rRNA from 1 species
UACGUAGGGUGCGAGCGUUGUCCGGAAUUAUUGGGCGUAAAGAGCUCGUAGGCGGUGUGUCACGUCGUUCGUGAAAACCUGCAGCUUAACUGUGGGCGUGCAGUCGAUACGGGCAGGCUAGAGUUCGGCAGGGGAGACUGGAAUUCCUGGUGUAGCGGUGAAAUGCGCAGAUAUCAGGAGGAACACCGGUGGCGAAGGCGGGUCUCUGGGCCGAUACUGACACUGAGGAGCAAAAGCGUGGGGAGCGAACAGG